rnacentral:rRNA from 1 species
GGAAGCCUACGGGGGGCAGCAGUGAGGAAUAUUGGUCAAUGGGCGAGAGCCUGAACCAGCCAAGUCGCGUGAGGGAGUACUGCCCUAUGGGUUGUAAACCUCUUUUGUCAGGGAGCAAAGGGCGCCACGUGUGGCGUUUUGCGAGUACCUGAAGAAAAAGCAUCGGCUAACUCCGUGCCAGCAGCCGCGGUAAUACGGAGGAUGCGAGCGUUAUCCGGAUUUAUUGGGUUUAAAGGGUGCGCAGGCGGAAUGUCAAGUCAGCGGU